UACGUAGGGUCCGAGCGUUGUCCGGAAUUACUGGGCGUAAAGAGCUCGUAGGUGGUUUGUCGCGUUGUUCGUGAAAACUCACAGCUCAACUGUGGGCGUGCGGGCGAUACGGGCAGACUAGAGUACUGCAGGGGAGACUGGAAUUCCUGGUGUAGCGGUGAAAUGCGCAGAUAUCAGGAGGAACACCGGUGGCGAAGGCGGGACUCUGGGCCGAUACUGACGCUGAGGAGCGAAAGCGUGGGGAGCGAACAGG
rnacentral:rRNA from 1 species